rnacentral:tRNA from 1 species
GGUGGUGCAGUGGUUAAAAUGCUUGGUUGCUAACCAAAAGGUCAGUGGUUCGAAUCCACUUGCCGCUC